rnacentral:rRNA from 1 species
UACGAAGGGGGCUAGCGUUGUUCGGAAUUACUGGGCGUAAAGCGUGCGCAGGCGGCUUCUCAAGUCAGGGGUGAAAGCCCAGAGCUCAACUCUGGAAUUGCCUUUGAGACUGAGUGGCUUGAGUACGAGAGAGGUGAGUGGAAUUCCCAGUGUAGAGGUGAAAUUCGUAGAUAUCGGGAGGAACACCAGUGGCGAAGGCGGCCCGCUGGGCAGUGGCUGACGCUGAAGCGCGACAGCGUGGGGAGCAAACAGG